rnacentral:rRNA from 1 species
CAUGCAAGUCGUGCGGUAACAGAGGUAGCUUGCUACCUGCUGACGAGCGGCGGACGGCUGAGUAACGCGUGGGAACAUGCCCCAAAGUGAGGAAUAACUGCCCGAAAGGGUAGCUAAUGCCGCAUAUGCUCUUCGGAGUAAAGCUUUCGAGCGCUUUGGGAGUGGCCCGCGUCCGAUUAGGUUGUUGGUGAGGUAAUGGCUCACCAAGCCUACGAUCGGUAGCUGGUCUGAGAGGAUGAUCAGCCAGACUGGGACUGAGACACGGCCCAGACUCCUACGGGAGGCAGCAGUAAGGAAUCUUCCACAAUGGGGGCAACCCUGAUGGAGCAACGCCGCGUGCAGGAUGAAGGCCUUCGGGUCGUAAACUGCUUUUAUAAGUGAAGAAUAUGACGGUAACUUAUGAAUAAGGGUCGGCUAACUACGUGCCAGCAGCCGCGGUCAUACGUAGGACCCGAGCGUUAUCCGGAGUGACUGGGCGUAAAGAGUUGCGUAGGUGGUUAGUAAAGUGAAUAGUGAAACCUGGUGGCUCAACCAUUCAGACUAUUAUUCAAACUCACUAACUCGAGAGUAGCAGAGGUAACUGGAAUUUCUAGUGUAGGAGUGAAAUCCGUAGAUAUUAGAAGGAACACCAAUGGCGUACGCAGGUUACUGGGCUAUUUCUGACACUGA